CAUCAGAAGUUAUUUUGCUCCUUUCCUUCCUGAUCUCCAAACAUCCUCAGGCUCUCCAAGUAUCUCAGCUCCCCAGAUGUAUUUCUGCUUGCUUACUUUGAAACAAAAGAAGGACAGAUGCUGGCAGGGACCUCUGGGUCCCUCUGGCCCAACCCCUGCUCCAGCAGAGAUACCCAGAGCAGGAUGCCCAGCACCACGUCAAGGUGGGUCUGAAGAUCUCCAAGGAGACCAUACAGCCUUUGUGUACCUGUGUUCUGUCACAGCACACAAGCCUGAUGGUCAGAUGGAACCUCCUGUGCUCCAGUUUGUGCCCAGUGCCUCUGCUCCUGGCACUGGGCACCACCGACAGGAGCCUGGCUCUGUCCUGUCUGCACUCUCCUUCAGGUAUUUAUAGACACUGAUGGGAUUCCCCCGAGCCUCCUCUCCCUCAGCCUGAGCAGCCUCAGCUCUCUCAGCCUCUCCUCACAGCAGAGGACUCCACAAGGUUCCUGCCAGCCCGUGUCUCAGCCUCCUCACAUCCCUCUGGGGCAUCAUUUGGGUGUCACCUGCAGGCAGACUGAGGGUACCCAUCAUCCACAUCAUGAUGAAAUCUGUUAAACAGGAAGGCAUCCACUGAUUUCUGAGCGAUCAGAUAAAUUAAGCAUAAAAAACCUUCAGACUUCAGUAGCAUAAUACAUCAUGGAAGAUUUUCACUGUGCUGAGCUAAGACUGAAUUACACGCUACCUGACCACUGCAUGCCACAAUCAUGGAGAAAGAAAGCAUACCUUGUGGAAUCUGAUGAAGGUUUCAUAUGGCC